CAUAACUGGAGUGAAGGCAGAUGAAAAGAUGCUAGGAAUUUUGAACUCUAUUGGAGACAAAUGUGUGGAACUUGCAAGAUCCCGCAGGUGUGCGAGAGAAACAGUACGAGAUAUCGAUGAAGACCUGGCAAUCCUCAGUGGCGACAUGAAAAAAUACUGCUUUGCGGUCGGUGUGCUCCGCCUGCUACCCUUGCUGCUGAACGAACAACCUGAAUAUUUGAAAGGAUCUGAUGUUUACCCCUCCAUAUUUACUCACGGAAGAAAGCUUCAUGACGCCACAGAAAUUCGGGUGAAAUUUGAAGACAUCAGCUUGGAAGCAUGUGAUGUGAUAAAUGGUGUGCCAAUAACACUGGAGUUGUACUGGGUUUUGGAUGUUAGGUACAGCCCAAAAAACAA